UUCCAGCCCCAAUAGCGUAUACUAAAGUUGCUGCAGUUAAAAAGCUCGUAGUUGGAUCUCGGGCACAGGCUUGCGGUCCGUCUCGCGGCGGUCACCGCUCGUCCUGGCCUCCCGGCCGGCGUCACCGUCCCCUGGUGCUCUUGACCGAGUGUCUCGGGCGGCCGGCACGUUUACUUUGAAGAAAUUAGAGUGCUUAGAGCAGGCCCUGGUCGCCUGUAUAAUUGUGCAUGGAAUAAUGGAAUAGGACCUCGGUUCUAUCUGUUGGCUCUCGGAGCGCGAGGUAAUGAUUGAUAGGGACUGACGGGGGCAUCCGUAUUGCGGCGCUAGAGGUGAAAUUCUUGGACCGUCGCAAGACGAACGACAGCGAAAGCAUUUGCCAAGCAUGUUUUCAUUAAUCAAGAACGAAAGUCAGAGGUUCGAAGACGAUCAGAUACCGUCGUAGUUCUGACCAUAAACGAUGCCAACUGUCGAUCCGCGGUGGUUGCUUAAAUGACCCCGCGGGCAGACCCCGGGAAACCGAAGUUUCUGGGUUCCGGGGGGAGUAUGGUUGCAAAGCUGAAACUUAAAGGAAUUGACGGAAGGGCACCACCAGGAGUGGAGCCUGUGGCUUAAUUUGACUCAACACGGGGAACCUCACCCGGCCCGGACACUGCGAGGAUUGACAGAUUGAGAGCUCUUUCUUGAUUCGGUGGGUGGUGGUGCAUGGCCGUUCUUAGUUGGUGGAGCGAUCUGUCUGGUUAAUUCCGAUAACGAACGAGACUCUGGCCUGCUAAAUAGCUCGGGCGUCCUCUGCUGCGCCCCUCGAGCUUCUUAGAGGGACGAGUGGCGUUUAGCCACGCGAGAUUGAGCAAUAACAGGUCUGUGAUGCCCUUAGAUGUUCGGGGCCGCACAUGCGCUACACUGAAUGGAUCAGCGUGCGUCUUGCCUGGCCCGAGAGGGCCGGGAAAUCCGUUGAACCCCAUUCGUGCUAGGGAUUGGGGCUUGCAAUUGUUCCCCAUGAACGAGGAAUUCCUAGUAAGCGCGAGUCAUCAGCUCGCGUUGAUUACGUCCCUGCCCUU
rnacentral:rRNA from 1 species